CAAGGGUUGGCGCGCUGCGACGCAUGCGCGAGCUUAGGCCGGAAGUCCCAUCCACAUCUCGCGAGAGCAGAGCCUCAGAUCUCGGGGGAGUGACUCCGGGUUUCCAAGCAGAAGCUCCGGAGCGCAGGUUCGCGAGGAAACACAUUCCAGAUUUCUUUGGAUGUCAUUGAUUUUCCUGUGAAUCAGCAGAAGACCUAGAGGGGCUUGGAGCUACAUAUUGAAGACAAUGUCUGGAAGCUUCUACUUUGUAAUUGUUGGCCACCAUGAUAAUCCAGUUUUUGAAAUGGAAUUUUUGCCACCUGGGAAAGCAGAAUCCAAAGAUGAUCACCGUCAUCUGAACCAGUUUAUAGCUCAUGCUGCUCUUGACCUUGUGGAUGAAAAUAUGUGGCUUUCUAACAACAUGUACUUAAAAACUGUGGACAAAUUUAAUGAGUGGUUUGUGUCAGCAUUUGUCACUGCAGGGCAUAUGAGAUUUAUUAUGCUUCAUGAUGUGAGGCAAGAAGAUGGAAUAAAGAACUUCUUUACUGAUGUCUAUGAUUUGUAUAUAAAGUUUGCAAUGAAUCCAUUUUAUGAACCCAAUUCUCCUAUUCGAUCAAGUGCAUUUGACAGAAAAGUUCAGUUUCUUGGGAAGAAACACCUUUUAAGCUAAAUGGAGAAACUCUGCAAUAAGCUGUAUCAUCGUGGGGUGUGCUCAGGAGUGUGUGUUCUGCUGGAGAGAUGGCUCAGCGGUUAAGAGCACUGCCUGCUCUUCCAGAGGUCAUGAGUUCAAUUCCCAGCAACCACAUGGUGGCUCACAACCAUCUGUAAUGAGAUCUGAUGCCCUCUUCUGGUGUGUCUGAAGACAGCUACACUGUACUUAUAUGAAUAAAAUAAAUCUUUAAAAAAAUUGUUUUACUCUGUGUGUGUGUGUGUGUGUGUGUGUGUGUGUGUUUUGAGUGCAUGCUGGGGGGGGGUGUGAUGGCAGAGGCCAGAAAGGGAAACUAGAUCCCACCAACUCUACCAGGCCCAGGGCAGAUUCAUAGCCAGUUAUGAGGCACCUGACACAGGGGCUAGGAAUUGAACUCAGUUCCUCUAAAAGAGCAACAGGGCUCUUAUAUAAUGACUCAUCUCUCCAGCAACAGCCCCCUAUCACCCUGUUUUUUUAAAAGGGCAUUUGUGUGAAACUUACAUGUAGAAGUCCUUAAUUUACACAUUCAAUCAAUUAAAACGUAAGUUUUUUUUUUUAAUAUUACCCUUAGGAUUAAGAAUAAACAGCAGCAGCUAACAAUGAGAGUCCUGUGACCAACAUUCUCUCUUCAUGGUCCUUAUUUGUGGUAAUUUGAAUGAGAGUGGUCCCCACAGACUCACAUGUUUGAUUGCUUAGUUCUAGUAGGUAAAACUGUUUGUUAAAUCUGGGAAGUGUGGCCUUGUGGGAGGAGGUAUAUUACUGAAGGCAGAUUCUGAGGUUUCAAAAGCUGAGUCACUUCAGUUAGUCUCACUCUCUGUCUCUGCUUAUGACUCAGAUAUAAGCUCUCAGUUACUGCUCCAGUGCCAUGCCAUGCCUGCCUGCCUGCCUGCCUGCCUGCCUGCCUGCCUGCCUGCCUGCCUGCUAUCGUGUUCCCCACCGUUAUGGUCAUGGACUCACCUUCUGAAACUGUAAGCAAGCCCCCAAAUUAGUACUUUCUUUUAUAAGUUGUCUUAGUCACAGUGUCUCUUCACAGCAUUAAAAAAGUAUUUAAGACAUAACUUUUGGGGUUGGGGAUUUAGCUCAGUGGUAGAGCGCUUGCCUAGCAAGCGCAAGGCCCUGGGUUUGGUCCCCAGCUCCGAAAAAAAGAACCAAAAAAAAAAAAAGACAUAACUUUUACUAUUAAGGCCAAGAGGAUUGAAAGAGGUUACAUAUGUAGCAAGAUCUCACAGCUAGUAAAAUAUUUAAGCUAUUAAUAUGGAAAAAUACACCAACUACUGGGCUACUUCAAAUACAACUGCUGGUUUUUGUUUGUUUUUGGUUUUGUUUUUUGAGUUUGCUGUUGUUACUGCAAUUAUAAAGGAAAUAAGCUAGUAGAAACAGUAAGCUUUUCGUUUGUUCCCUUUGUUCCAAGAUCUGCAAAAGAACAAGUUAAUUCAACAGAAAUAGACUAAUCUGGCAAUACAUAACAAAAGUAUGUGUGAGGAUGCUCUGGGUUUUGUUGCUGUUGGUUUUUGUAAGACAGUGUCUCAUACUGAACAGGUGGCAUCAAACUCAGUACUGAGCUAAAGAUGAACUUCAAACUAAGUCUCUUGUCUUUUACCUCCUGAAUGUCAAGAUUAUAGGUAUGCAUCCCCCCCAUGCCCAGUUUUAUAAGGUGCUGGGAAUCAAAUCCAGUGCUUCCUGCAUGCUAGGAAAGGCUCUACCACAUCCCCAACCAAAUGUGUUGUAUUUUAAAAGUAGGUUUUAAAUGAAACAUGAGUCAAAUGUCAACAGCUCUCAGAAUCUCCAUAGAAGCCUCCAGUUUCACAAAAUAGGCAAAAGCAGCUUUCCAACUAAUAUUUAGAUAUCACCUACUAUGUGCCACACAUUAACAAUGCAAACUACAAAGCUCUUUCCUGAGGGUAAUACUACAUGAAGCCACAACUCUCAGGUCCUACAAAAUGAGAGGCACAAGAACAGAGUGCAACCACUCAUACUCAGUUGAAAAACCACUUGAAAUAUUAACACAGCACCCUAUCCACCAUUCCCCUAGUAAGUCAGGGGUACAAUGUACAAAUGUGAGGUUCCCUUAGUUGGGCCUAGGCCUUGCCCGCCAGUAUCUAAGAGUAGUGUAUGAUACCAGCCACCAUCAGGCCUUUACAUACAUGUUUUCACAAACUCAAGCCAACUACUAAACUGCUAAGGUAAAGUAAGGUAAAAAGUACCUUCCAGUACCGGAGGGAAACUAGGUUGUGUUGCCCUGUGUCCAUUUCCAGUUGUGGUCUGUUCCAACCACAUCUCAAUUUUAGUGAUAUGCUGUCCUUAGGAGGCAGCCUUAACCAAUAUCUGGCUCCAAGGCAGGGGGUUACCUGAAUUCAGGAAAGCAGGUUAAGACAGGGGACAGAGAAAAGAAAGGUGCAAUGAACUAACACAUUCCAAGGCUCUGCCAAGGAACCCCGAUACCAGCAUAAACUGGGAGACCCUGAGGCAGGUGCAGAAAUAAGUUUAGUAGGAAGAAGGAACUGAAGUAGGGAAUCCUAUGCAGUCAGGGUCUUCAGAAGCCACUGGAAGGAUUUUUGCCUACACUGUAGGAUUGAAGAAAGCCACUGAGAUACCUUCAGCAGUAGAAGCCUCGAUGAGAUAAGAGCCCAGAAAAGUAACUGGCUGCCACAGAAACAAUGCGUUGAAGAAGAUUCAGGUAGAGCUAGAACGAAUACCUUACCAUCUCUGUCACACUGCCAAUGGUGUCAGCUGCUCUUAGGUACCAAAAGUGAGGUGGUUGUGUCUUGCUUGAUUCUCCAAUAAGAUGUUCACCAUUAGCCUUCCAGCUUUUUGUCACUUGCUUCCGUCCCCAUCCCUUCCCCACCCCUUUGAUUGGUAUCUGGCUAACUCUUAAACCCACUAGACCUCACCCCUCUCCAAUACUUCCAAUUCUAACUAACCCUCCUAAGCCACACUCCUCUAACAUUUGCAAUCCAGGCCUCAGUAGUGAACAUGUCUACAAUGCCUUCUAAUAAAAAUGCUAGUGAAAAACAUCCACUAUUCCCAAUCCUGUAGUACACACUAUUAUAAUACCCCAUAUUUUCUUCUUGAUUGUCAACUUGAGACAAAAAAAAAAUCUAAAACCAACUUCUCCCCCAAAAAGAAGAAAAAUGAUUCUUUAAAGACAGGGUUUAGCCUUCUGUAGCCUUGGCUGUCCUGAACUCUGUGGAUCAGGCUGGCCUCAAACUCACAGAGAUCUGCCUGCCUCUGCCUCCUGAGUGCUGGGCUAAAGGCAUGUGCCACCACUGCCCUGCAAAAUUUAAAAAGAGAAAGUUUAGCUGAGCAAGUGGAAAUUACUUACCUAAUUAGGAAGGCUGGAGAGAGAGUUCAGCUGAUAAGAGCACAUACUGCUAUCCCAAUGUCUGCAGAACUCACUCCCACCCAAAGCUAUCUAUCUGUGUCCUCAGCGGAUCCCCCAUCUCUGCAUGGAAUGUAACCUUGGUCCGGGAGGCUCGGCCCCACCACAAUGGUACAAGGCACCCAUCAGAGCCCCAGCUCAGAUCCACCUUCUACAGGAGGUGUCACAGCUCCCUCUCUUUCCUUUGUACUAUCAUUCUGGCUUUCACUCAUUUCCACCUGCUCACAUGCUCCAAGUUGCACGUGCCUGUUUCCCUAUUACAAUGUCAACUCCCUGGGAGGAACACAACACCGAUGUCAUCCAGUCACGUGGUGGCUAAUUUUAUGUCAACCUGACAUAAGCUAGAGUCAUUUUCAAGGAGGGAAAAUUGACAAAAUGACCCCUCAAGAUUGGCCUUGUGGGCAAGCAUGUGGUGCAUUUUCUUGAUUGAUGAUUGAUGUGCCAAAACACAGCUCACCUUGGGCUGUGCCACCCUUGUGCUGUUGGUCCCAAGUAAGAAAGUAGACUGAGCAAGACAUGAGGUGCAAGCUUGAGGUGCAUCAGUUCCUGCCCGGACUCCCCUCAGCCAUGGAGUGUAACAUGAGACUUGUAGACUGAAGUGACUCCUCAGAGAGUUAAUCUGGGAUGGAGGAAGAUGGCGAAACUGGCAGUGAUGGGUAGAGGAAGUUUUCAACCCAAGUUGGUUAUGGUCAUGGUAUUUUAUCACAGCAAUAGAAACCCCAAGAUGACAAUUCAUGUCCUAUUUUUGACUGCCACAUUGAAUAAAAUACUCUGCACAUGGUGAAAUGCAAACAAAUGCUAAAAUAAAGCAUUCUCCAUUAUUUUUGUUAUUCUAUUAUUCUAUUUCUAUCUAUACUCAGCAUGUAAAUUCUUCCUCCUAUUUUGGAUAUCCAUUAUAAUAUGUUGGAAAAAAUGAUUAUUGUAAUUCUAAUGAGAAUUAGUAGUAUUGACUGAAAUUAACAAGGAGUGAACAUGUACAUGCUGAAAAACUAGUACAUUCCUUUAGUAAGAUAGAUACUAGAGGGAGAGCAGGCUCCCUUUGGUAAGCCACUUCCUCAAAACUUCAGCAACACACACUCCAGUCUCUUUUGCAACUUUGCACUCCUGAAAUUUUUAAUUGAACUUAUCACUCCUGAUUUAAAUUUAUGAAGGUUCUUUUCUCUCCCCAAAUUCACAAGUUCCUUUUGCAUUCAUUCACCCCGAAUGUCCUAAUUAGAGGCAUAGCUACCAUUUCAAUUAAUUUCAUAGCUUAAGAAACUGAGCUUUACGCAGGACAGGGGGUGGCACAUGCCUAUAGAACCCUGUACUCAGGGGGGUAAAGACAGGUAGAUCACAAGUUCAGGGCCAGCAUGGACUACAAUAGUCGGGUCUAAUGAAGAGUGGAGGGGGUGUGGGAAGGGAAGGGAGGGAAGAGGAACAGGGAAGGUUAGAGGAGGUGGAGGGGAGGGGAGAGGGAGGGGACAGGAGGAGAGGAGGGGAGGGAGAGGGGAGAGAAAUGGGAGGAGACGGGAGAAAAAGGAGAGGGGAGGGGGAGGGAGGAGUGGGGAGGGUAGAGAAAGAAUAAAAGAAGGGAAAGAGAGGGGAGAGGGGAGAAGAGGGGAGAAGGGAAGGGAGAGGGAAGGGGAGAGGAAGAAAUGAAUGGGAGUCUAAUGGGUCCUAGCCCUAUAGCACAAAGGUAACAAAACAACCAAAAACCAGAACUAAGGAAAAUACCACCACAACAGGCCAAUUUGGAGACUCAAGAUUUGAUCAGGUGAAUUAGAUUAUCUAGCACUAAGUACUGCCUCACAGAUAGGAUAGGUAAAAUAAAACAACAAAAAGCUGUGGAAAUCGGCUGGGGAUUUAGCUCAGUGGUAGAGCGCUUACCUAGGAAGCGGAAGGCCCUGGGUUCGGUCCCCAGCUCCGAAAAAAAGAACAAAAAAAAAAAAAAAGCUGUGGAAAUCAAGCCACAACUAUCACUGACAAAGCACAUAGUCUAUUUAAGGAACCCACUUCAAGUACUCUUUCUGGAAAAAUGAAGCAUCUAAUUUGAUUUAAAAAAUAGUUUUUAAUGAAAAAGAACAUUUUUGUAGUUAGGUAAGGUAGAAAGACAAAAGAAUCAAUUAAGCAACUAAACAGUAGAUAAUUCAGAGCUAGAAAUGCUCAGUGACCCACAUGUGGCCAAUGGACAUCUGAAAUGUGGUUAGUCUGCUUAACUGAAUUUUUAUUUUAGCUUCAUUUUAGUUAGAGCACUUCAUAACACUAAGGACUACUGUAUCAGACAAUGGAGGUCCACAACACGGUGAGUGAAUACGAGGCUGGUAAACCCCUAGAAUCCCAAGUAGGCUCAGAUGAGUGGAAUAGUUUAACAAGAAUCUGUAUGUGUGAGCUUCACACUAGAAAGAUUAGAAGCACUUCCACCAUAUUUGUGGUCUGGUGCAUAUGUAUGUAUGCACACAUGUGUGCAAGGAGUGCAUGUGAAAGGCACAGAACAAUCUUGGGUGACAUGCACCUCAUCGUGUGAGACAGGGUCUUCUCCCUGGCCUCAAGACAACCAGUCUGGCUAGCCAGAGAGCCCCAGGGAUCCUCCUUCCCCUACCUAGCUAGUGCUGGGAUUACAAAUGCCUGGCAUUUCUGACUAGGUUUGAGAAUCCAACUCAAGUCCUCAAGCUUGUAAGGUAAGCAAAGCUCGGGUUGCAUUAGGUUCCUUUUAAUCCUUAUUUUCACACACAUAUAUCAUUUUGAUCAUACCCCACACACACCUGAUGCCCUCUCUGCCUCCUCUUCCUUUCUUUUCUUUCUUUUUGAGGCCUACACUUUAAUCAGUGUUGCCUGCAUGACCUCAGAUAAGAAGAGGCAACUUACCAGUAAAAUAUGAGUCUCAUUCCUCCAGCAACCAUUAACUACGUAAACUCUUCAGCCUUGUGUCGGGGGGUGUCCUUCUGAGUUCCUUCCCCAUCCAAGAUGGAAUGUUGAUGGACUCGGUCCUACGCCUGUCAUGCGCAAGACCAACUGCUGUCAUCAGUCUUUUUUUGUUUGCUUGCUUUUUCUCAAGACACAGUUUCCCUGUGUAGCCCUGGUUGUCCUGGAACUUGACCUGUGAACAAGCUGGGCCUUAAACUCAGAGAUCUGCCUGACUGUGCCUCCUGAGUGCUGGGAUUAAAGGUUUGUCAUCAGUCUAAGUCCCUCAAAAAUGAUCAACAAAGCUGGAUAUGGUAAUAUACAUAUCGGGAGGCAGAGGCGAGACAGACUUGAGUUUGAGGCUAGCCUGGUCUACACAGAGAAUUCCAGGACAGCCCAGGCUUCAUAGCUGAGACUCAGCUUUAAUUUUUUAAAAAUUUAAAAAUAAAUCAAUGCCUGUGUCAUUUCUACAUCACAUGUGAUCACUUUAUGUGUCUCCUAACUAACCUUUCAGACUUUUCAUCUUUAUUCAGUACCACUAUUUCCUCCUCCCAUCACUCAUGGGAGUCUUUUGUGUAUUAAAGUUUGGCCAUAAACUGUGAUAGUUCAGUGAACACCUUCACUCAUGAGAAACUGCGGAAACCCAGAAGUGAGGAUAUAAAGUUUUGUUCUUUGUGAGGUGCAAGCAUAAAUCUACCUAUUAAAGGGCACUUAAUAUAUUUUUUUUUAAUUUGCAAUACUUUCUUUUUAAGGCAGGGUGUCACUAUGUAGCCUUGGUUGGCCUGGCCUGUGUAGACCAAGCUGACCUCAAACUCAAGAGAUUUGCCUACCUCUGCCUCCCAAGUGUUGGAAUUAAAUAAAAGAAUUAAUGUAAACCAAACUAACUGAAGAAGGUGUAAGUCAAAAAAUUGUCAUGUUGUGUGUGAAAUAAGCACUAUGCUCUGCUAGGAACAAAUGUUUCAAGGGGACUCUGACCCUCACUUAACUUUGAGUUAUGGACUUUGAUUUUGCCUUUUAAAACACUGUACCUCUGAGCUUGAUACCAAGAGACUUAGAGGCAUGAGCCCACUCUUGGUUGCUGACUAAUUACAGACAGACAGACAGACAGCAGUUGUUUUAAGACUCAACUAGAUUAGAGGCUUGGAAAGUCCAUCCUACAUACAGAGAGGUUGUCACCAGUACAAUGGCAGACACUGAAAGUUGCUCUUCCAAAGUUCUGUGUACUGGAUGUAAGUGACACCUGCCCAUGAGCAGCACCCCAGUUUAGUUCUACUGAGAUGCUGGAUUGCAUUCUUCUCACAGGAAUGCCUGAACAUACUCUACCCUUCACUGCCAAUUCCCCAUCAGCCUCCACACGAGUUUACUCUCUAUAGAGUUGCACACCUCCAUUCCCUGAAACAUCAAAAUGACCACUAGCCAAACCAAUGUCUUCUCACUGCUCACAUGAGAGCCUUCAGGAACACAGGGCUCUAAAGUGAACAGUAAGAAUGAAGGGUUUGCUUUUCUGUAGCUUUUUAAAAUCUGACCAGUCCCUCCACAUGUGGCCAUGAUAAUAGUAAAUUCCUUGAAGAUGUAAUGCCACAGAAUUGCAAAAAGGGAAUCAUAUAUUAUCUAAAACAACUAAGAAAAUGGAGAUCCUCUUACCAAAGUAUCUCUAUAGUACCACACAUUUGCCAAGAGACAAGGUCCUUCAAAUCUUAGUCAUGACAGGCCACUGUCCAUUAUUACAGCAAUGAGGCCUAUAUUACAGGACAAUAACCACUCUCCCUCUUGAAAAUUCCCCCUAAUAUAGUUCAUAAGACUGACAGCAGGCUCUGCUUUCUCUCACACAUUCUCACCUUUCUUUAGCCAGGUAGCUCCCUUUCCUAACAAUCCCUCAAAGGUCAUAUCCUGAGGUUGAAGUCCACACCUCUUCUCACUGACUAUAAAUACCAGCAAUUCCUUAAAGUCCACCUUCACCCUCUCACACUUCAGAACCACACAAGAAUUUUCAACCCUUUUAAAAUGACGAUAUUCAAAUUCAGUAUGUCAAAGAAUAUGUACCCUUCUUAUACCUGAUUUGAUCGUACAAAGAAUUAUUUCCUUCCCAACCCAUUGCCACUGCCUUACUGAGUCAAAUAUGAAGUGCUUAAAGUCUGUCUUAACAGCUGCUGCUUAACAUCUACUAAGUAUCUGCCAGAAUUUCUUUUCCUGUUUCUGUGAUAAACACGCUGACAAAUGAACUUAAGGGAAAAAGACUUUCCAACGUACAGUUGACAGGAACAUACAAAGGAUACAGUUCACCACCAUAGUGGGGGAGUCAAGGCAACAAAAACCUGAAGAGGCUGCUCAUAGUGCAUCUUAGUCAGGAGCAAAAGAUUCCCUUUCUCCAGUUAUUCAGUUCAGGAGACCAACCAGAAAAAGAAAAAAUAGAGCUAGGGGGGGUUGUUCCUCCCACCUUAGUUAAGCAGAAAAGUUCAAAGGCCCAUUUCUUUUUUUUUUUUUUUUUGGAGCUGGGGACCGAACCCAGGGCCUUGCGCUUCCUAGACAAGCGCUCUACCACUGAGCUAAAUCCCCAGCCC